rnacentral:rRNA from 1 species
GACGUAGGGCGCGAGCGUUGUCCGGAUUUAUUGGGCGUAAAGAGCUCGUAGGCGGCUUGUCGCGUCGUCCGUGAAAACCCACAGCUCAACUGUGGGCUUGCGGUCGAUACGGGCAGGCUAGAGUUCGGUAGGGGAGACUGGAAUUCCUGGUGUAGCGGUGAAAUGCGUAGAUAUCAAGGGAGGAACACCGGUGGCCGAAAGCGCUUGUCUGGCCCAAUACUGACGCUGAUGCGCGAAAGCCAGGGGAGCAAACGGG